CUAUACUUAAUGAUUUGGUAAUUCCUUAUAAAUUAAGAUUAUGCUUUUGGUUAAGUAUUAUGUUGUGUUUGCAUAUUGUUCGGGAAACCUAACGGAGUAACUUAGUGAUCGUUUAGUUGCUUAGUUACUUUUUAACUUCCUGUAUAUUUUAAACCUCAUUUGGGUUUCCAUAACACCGUCUCUUUGAAGACGGUGUUUUUUU
rnacentral:other from 1 species